UUCCACAGCUACUGGUCUGCAGCUGUUCUUAAGGUAGCAGUUGUAACGUUCCUCUGUGUGAAAGAAACUUACACAAUUUAACACCUCUUUCUUACCAAACAGAAAGAAUAUUCGUGACAGACACAC
ensembl:snoRNA